AGGACGGCGGGUAGCAGCCGCAGGCCCGGGAGCCAGGGCUGGGAGGGCGCGUCCCCAAACUUUCUCCCAGUAUUUAUUUACGCAGAGCAGCGAGCCACGCGAAUUGCUGCUGUUUAAAAGAGGGCGGGAGCUGGAUUUGCUGGGUUCCAAUGGCCUCCGGGGCAUCUGGUUGCUGAAAUCAGAAGAGGUUUGCCUUUCUGGUCUCAGAGACCUAAGGGAUCAAGGCUCAGCUUCAGGCAAGAUCAUCUCAUGCUUGAUUGCCAGAAUUCCUGGGCCCCAAUAUGGAUACGAUUUCAGGGCUUCUUUCCACUGCAGGCUUGAUCAGCAAAUGCUCCCAGCUGAGUGUUCAGGAACCUUCACCACAUUAACAAAGCCCAUGAUAGGUUGGCUUGUACACAUUGGACCUCAAAUAUUUUUGCUGCAUAAACGAUCAAGUCAUUCAGGCAAACAGUAACCUCCAGGGGAACCAGUUCCUGGUGAUUAAGACAUUGGGGCCUGAGGGAAGUCCUGAGAGAGCAGAAGGUCACAGAGCACAGAGAAAGGAGCAAGGUGAGGACAUCCAAGGGACUGUCUGUGGUCCGGAGGUAAGCCUGGAUCAGACCAGACUGGAGCUCCAGGCUCAGGGCUCCCUUCCCUGUGCUAUGGGUCACAGCUGCACACAGGCCGGGGCCAUUGUUUCCAGAUUUACUGAGUGUCUGCUGUGGUGCCGGGGACAAAGCUGGAUGCUGGCAACACGCAGUGGGGAGCUGACAGCUGAAUGGGGAGGACACCCAGCCAUUAGAUGGCUAUGAAGUCACGUACUUAUAAUUAUGAGUUAUAUUAGGAAGAUAUGUGGGGUCUGGGAAGG